rnacentral:rRNA from 1 species
UCCAGACUCCUACGGGAGGCAGCAGUGGGGAAUAUUGGGCAACGGGCGCAAGCCUGACCCAGCAAUGCCGCGUGAAGGAAGAAGGCUUUCGGGUUGUAAACUUCUUUGACAGGGGAAGAGCAGAAGACGGUACCCUGAAAACAAGCCACGGCUAACUACGUGCCAGCAGCCGCGGUAAUACGUAGGUGGCAAGCGUUAUCCGGAUUUAUUGGGUGUAAAGGGCGUGUAGGCGGGAGCGCAAGUCAGAUGUGAAAACUCAGGGCUCAACCCUGAGCCUGCAUUUGAAACCGUGUUUCUUGAGUGCUGGAGAGGCAAUCGGAAUUCCGUGUGUAGCGGUGAAAUGCGUAGAUAUACGGAGGAACACCAGUGGCGAAGGCGGAUUGCUGGACAGUAACUGACGCUGAGGCGCGAAAGCGUGGGGAGCAAACAGGAUUAGAUACCCGCGUAG